UACGUAGGGUGCGAGCGUUGUCCGGAAUUACUGGGCGUAAAGAGCUCGUAGGUGGUUUGUCGCGUUGUCCGUGAAAAACUCACAACUCAAUUGUGGGCGUGCGGGCGAUACGGGCAGACUGGAGUACUGCAGGGGAGACUGGAAUUCCUGGUGUAGCGGUGGAAUGCGCAGAUAUCAGGAGGAACACCGGUGGCGAAGGCGGGUCUCUGGGCAGUAACUGACGCUGAGGAGCGAAAGCGUGGGGAGCGAACAGGA
rnacentral:rRNA from 1 species